rnacentral:ncRNA from 1 species
ACAAUAACAUUUAAGGGAAAAGAGUAGUUUAAGGAUUUAUCAAAAGGGAGACUUGCCACCGACUGAAAGCAAGUUGUUAAAGAAUUAAGUGAAGUUCACUUCCUGAGUUGUUUAUCAUUCAGUAAUAAACCGGUGUGAAUCAUCGUUAACAAAUAAAAGUGUGUACGUUUACGUACAAAUUAGGAUGGUACCGCGAGACAUCGUUCCUUUA